AGAGUUUGAUCAUGGCUCAGGAUGAACGCUAGCUACAGGCUUAACGCAUGCAAGUCGAGGGGCAGCAUGGUCUUAGCUUGCUAAGGCCGAUGGCGACCGGCGCACGGGUGAGUAACACGUAUCCAACCUGCCGUCUACUCUUGGACAGCCUUCUGAAAGGAAGAUUAAUACAAGAUGGCAUCAUGAGUCCGCAUGUUCACAUGAUUAAAGGUAUUCCGGUAGACGAUGGGGAUGCGUUCCAUUAGAUAGUAGGCGGGGUAACGGCCCACCUAGUCUUCGAUGGAUAGGGGUUCUGAGAGGAAGGUCCCCCACAUUGCAACUGAGACACGGUCCAAACUCCUACGGGGCGCAGCAG
rnacentral:rRNA from 1 species